UACUGCAUCCCCCAUUCCUCCCUCUUCCCACCCCCCCCAAAAAAAACAACAACAACAACAAAACCACUCAAAGAAAGGCCGGGGCCAAGCCGGGAUCAUCCCAGCAAUGCCUUCGGAGGGCUCAGGGCCGGAGGUUCAUUAGCGCUGCGUUCGUUAGCGCGGCGGCAGGGCAGCAUGGCGUGUGGGAGGGCAGACGCCAGGCUGUCUGCUCCCACUCGGUUCGGGGUGUUAUUAACUUCUCCCCGGGCUGCCGCUCACCCGCAGCUCCUGCGCUUGGCUUCGGGCUUUCCCCGCGCCGCUCCAUCUGCAGCGCCGUAAUUACAGCUGCUGGGAUCUCCCUUUAUCUCGGGCGAUCUCAGAGGACGGCUUCCCCGUGCAAAGCAGCGCCCCGCACUGAGGACAAGACCCCCCCCCGGAGAGGUCCAGGACGCAUGAACCCAACAAGCCUCCACCGGUGGCCAACGGCGAGCUGCGCCUCAACGGCAAGGGGAAGAAGCUGCGCAAACCACGCACCAUCUACUCCAGCCUGCAGCUGCAGGCCCUCAACCAACGCUUCCAGCAGACCCAAUACCUGGCGCUGCCCGAGCGUGCCGAGCUGGCGGCCCAGCUGGGGCUCACCCAGACCCAGGUCAAAAUCUGGUUCCAGAACAAGCGCUCCAAGUACAAGAAGAUCAUGAAGCAGGGCUCGAGUGCACCCGAUGGGGAGCAGCACCUGCACACCUCCUCCUCACUGUCCCCCUGCUCCCCCAGCAUCCCCCCGCUCUGGGACAUCCCUGUGCCGGGCAAAGGGCCCCCGCUGCCCCCCAACAACUACAUCAGCAGCUUCGGAGCCUGGUACCAGCCGCACCCUCAGGACUCCAUGCCCCGUGGUCCCAUGAUGUGACACCACUAUGGCUGCAGCACCCAGCGGCUCCGGGAGGACCAGCAAGGGGGGAACAUGCCUCCGAGCCCUGAUGGACGAUGCUAUGAGGGACCCCAGCAAAUGGAGGAUGAAGAAGAGGAGGAUGAAGGUGACCACUGUCUGCAGGGACCCAAAUUGUGGGCUGAAGUGAGAUGCCCCCGGCACAGAGCCCUUGUACGGGCGGGACAGGACUUUGGCCAAGCUGCAGCCCCAAGGUCUAUGGGCACAGAGGGGCUGGAGGGGUCCCCGGAGCCCCUGCCCCAGGGCCUGGCUUUAUUUAUAAGCACCAUCUGUGAACCUAAGUGCCCCCUGUUAUAAAUAGGCUGUACAAUUGUAAAGUAAAGACUGCUCCUCGGUACCUGCUGCCAUGUGCUGAGGGUCUCCAUGGUCUGGGGAGAAUGCUCCUGUGGGGUGGGGGCAUCCAAAGAGGGGACAGGUACCCCCAGACCCCCCCAGCCUAACAUCUGUGCAGGACCCACCACUAUUCUCAGACCUGCCACUAUUUUCAG
rnacentral:lncRNA from 1 species